UACUUAGUGGCGAACGGGUGAGUAACGCGUGAGUAACCUGCCCUGGAGUGGGGGACAACAGUUGGAAACGACUGCUAAUACCGCAUAAGCCCACGGAUCCGCAUGGAUCUGCGGGAAAAGGAUUUAUUCGCUUCAGGAUGGACUCGCGUCCAAUUAGCUAGUUGGUGAGGUAACGGCCCACCAAGCCUUCGAUGGAUAGGGGUUCUGAGAGGAAGGUCCCCCACAUUGGAACUGAGACACGGUCCAAACUCCUACGGGAGGCAGCAUG
rnacentral:rRNA from 1 species